rnacentral:pre_miRNA from 13 species
GUGAGUUUUGUAGAGUUUUAAAGCUAUAAAUCGCCGGUAAAUAGACGUUAAAGACGCGAAAGCUCUACCCAAACUCACCCCGG